rnacentral:rRNA from 1 species
GCGUAAAGGGCGCGCAGGCGGUUUCUUAAGUCUGAUGUGAAAGCCCACCCCUCUUCUGUGGAGGGUCAUUGGAAACUGGGGAACUUGAGUGCCCAAGAGAAGAGUGGAAUUCCACGUGUAGCGGUGAAAUGCGUAGAGAUGUGGAGGAACACCAGUGGCGAAGGCGGCUCUCUGGUCUGUAACUGACGCUGAGGAGCGAAAGCGUGGGGAGCAAACAGGAUUAGAUACCCUGGUAGUCCACGCCGUAAACGAUGAGUGCUAAGUGUUA